rnacentral:rRNA from 1 species
GACGAACGCUGGCGGCGUGCUUAACACAUGCAAGUCGAACGGAAAGGCCCUGCUUUUGUGGGGUGCUCGAGUGGCGAACGGGUGAGUAACACGUGAGUAACCUGCCCUUGACUUUGGGAUAACUUCAGGAAACUGGGGCUAAUACCGGAUAGGAGCUCCUGCUGCAUGGUGGGGGUUGGAAAGUUUCGGCGGUUGGGGAUGGACUCGCGGCUUAUCAGCUUGUUGGUGGGGUAGUGGCUUACCAAGGCUUUGGCGGGUAGCCGGCCUGAGAGGGUGACCGGCCACAUGGGGCCUGAGGUACGGCGCAGACUCCUACGGGAGGCAGCAGUGGGGAAUAUUGCACAAUGGGCGGAAGCCUGAUGCAGCAACGCCGCGUGCGGGAUGACGGCCUUCGGGUUGUAAACCGCUUUCGCCUGUGACGAAGCGUGAGUGACGGUAAUGGGUAAAGAAGCACCGGCUAACUACGUG